rnacentral:rRNA from 1 species
GAUGAACGCUGGCGGCGUGCCUAAUACAUGCAAGUCGAGCGAAUGGAUUAAGAGCUUGCUCUUAUGAAGUUAGCGGCGGACGGGUGAGUAACACGUGGGUAACCUGCCCAUAAGACUGGGAUAACUCCGGGAAACCGGGGCUAAUACCGGAUAACAUUUUGAACCGCAUGGUUCGAAAUUGAAAGGCGGCUUCGGCUGUCACUUAUGGAUGGACCCGCGUCGCAUUAGCUAGUUGGUGAGGUAACGGCUCACCAAGGCAACGAUGCGUAGCCGGCCUGGGAGGGUGAUCGGCCACACUGGGACUGAGACACGGCCCAGACUCCUACGGGAGGCAGCAGUAGGGAAUCUUCCGCAAUGGACGGAAGUCUGACGGAGCAACGCCGCGUGAGUGAAGAGGGCUUUCGGGUCGUAAAACUCUGUUGUUAGGGAAGAACAAGUGCUAGGUGAAUAAGCUGGCACCUUGACGGUACCUAACCAGAAAGCCACGGCUAACUACGUGCCAGCCGCCGCAGUAA